GUCAACUACCGCACACCAACCCUGAUCGGGUAUGGUGUGGACUUGAAUAAAGUCUGUUGACCAGACGGCUCACCUCGACUUCGCGGGCGUGAGCGGAGCCGAACCGAGCAGCCGUUAAGACUAAGAGUUAAAGUUCGUACCUUGGGAUGCGUGCCAGUUCCAAGCUCUACA
rnacentral:sRNA from 21 species